rnacentral:lncRNA from 1 species
UUAUAUUAGUGCAUUUUAGCUUCUUAUUCUCUAGAAAUAGGAUAGUUUAUAUAUUUUUCUUUAAUUUUAGAUUUUUGUAAAAUAGUAUUAUCUGCUUGAUGAUUUGCUGGGUGAAUCCGAUUUCACUUUUGACAGUUCUGUAUUAUUUAAUGAUUCACUCAUGCAUGCUGAUUUUGAUGUUGUAGAUGAUAAACUUAGGGUUGUCACUAAUAUUGAUGGGGCUGCAGACAUUAAAGAUACAAAAGCAGUCUUGUUCGAGGUAGGAGAUGCUAUUAACACUGUCAAGACAGCUUGGAUCAUUAAGAAUCAGAAGAAAAAGUGUGAGGAGCUCUGGCUGCUGCAGCAAGGUGUCUUGAAAGUGCAGAACCAGAAGCUAAUACUGAAGGGAAAGUUAUUGUUGCAGAAAGGAAGAACUGAGAAAGAGCAAUUCAAUACAAC